rnacentral:rRNA from 1 species
GACGGGGACCCGCACAAGUAGCGGAGCAUGUGGUUUAAUUCGAAGCAACGCGAAGAACCUUACCUAAGCUUGACAUCCCAAUGACAUCUCCUUAAUCGGAGAAUUCCCUUCGGGGACAUUGGUGACAGGUGGUGCAUGGUUGUCGUCAGCUCGUGUCGUGAGAUGUUGGGUUAAGUCCCGCAACGAGCGCAACCCUUGUCUUUAGUUGCCAUCAUU